AACUGUCAUAUUUCAUUGGAAAAUGAGAAGAAAGAUAGGAAACUAAGUCGAUCUCUGUCAGCAUCUGCUACUUUUCCUGAAUCGUGUUUCUCAAAAAUUCAAACCCCUGACUCAAGAAAAAAUUCAUACGAUGCCUCUCCUUUCGGGUCUCAUACCUCUGACGACACUAAACUGAAUUUUCAGUUGAAUCCUGUGUCAUGCGAGACUGUUGACACCUCGGAAGCAUUGUUAUUUUCUGAUGUUGAAAAGUGCCUAACAAACAAUCGAAGCCUGAGCUGUGCAAGUGAUGAUAGUGCGAGCCGGCCCACCAGAUUAUGCACUUCCAAAU
rnacentral:lncRNA from 1 species